UUGCAACCAGUUAAGCCAACUGACCUCUUUUCCCCAUGGUGGCCCAUGUGCAAUGGCUGCAAAGAGCAGCUUCCUUGGUGGUGUAUGCAGACUGUGAUAUGUAGGGAGAGCUCUAAGAGACCUUGGAGACAGUC
ensembl:snoRNA SNORA70 Small nucleolar RNA SNORA70